rnacentral:tRNA from 1 species
AUUCCGGUAGCUCAAGAAGAGCUUUACAUUGAAGCUGUAAGGGUAGUUUACUCCGUAAUA